rnacentral:rRNA from 1 species
AUGGCACCCAAGGCGGAGAAGAAGCCGGUGGCGACGGAGAAGGCCCCGGCGGGCAAGAAGCCCAAGGCCGAGAAGCGGCCGCCGGCGUCCAAGGAGGGCAGCGAGAAGAAGGGGAAGAAGAAGGCCAAGAAGAGCGUGGAGACGUACAAGAUCUACAUCUUCAAGGUGCUCAAGCAGGUGCACCCCGACAUCGGCAUCUCCUCCAAGGCCAUGUCCAUCAUGAACUCCUUCAUCAACGACAUCUUCGAGAAGCUCGCCGGCGAGUCCGCCAAGCUGGCCCGCUACAACAAGAAGCCCACCAUCACCUCCCGGGAGAUCCAGACCUCCGUCCGCCUCGUCCUCCCCGGCGAGCUCGCCAAGCACGCCGUCUCCGAGGGCACCAAGGCCGUCACCAAGUUCACCUCAGCCUAG